UACGUAGGGUGCAAGCGUUGUCCGGAAUUAUUGGGCGUAAAGAGCUCGUAGGCGGUCUGUCGCGUCUGCUGUGAAAACUCGGGGCUUAACCCCGGGCCUGCAGUGGGUACGGGCAGACUAGAGUGCGGGAGGGGAGACUGGAAUUCCUGGUGUAGCGGUGAAAUGCGCAGAUAUCAGGAGGAACACCGGUGGCGAAGGCGGGUCUCUGGGCCGUAACUGACGCUGAGGAGCGAAAGCGUGGGGAGCGAACAGG
rnacentral:rRNA from 1 species